rnacentral:rRNA from 1 species
AUAGGCUUAGAAUGCUGGAAUGCUUCUAAGCUCAAAGCUUCGGCGCCUAAGGAUGAGUCUACGGCCUAUCAGGUUGUAGCAAGUGUAACGUACUUGCUAGCCUAUAACGGGUACGGGCGUUGAGAGGCGUCGCCCGGAGAUGGACUCUGAGACAUGAGUCCAGGCCCUACGGGGCGCAGCAGGCGCGAAAACUCCGCAAUGUGCGCAAGCACGACGGGGGAAUCCCAAGUGCCUGUGCUUUAAGCGCAGGCUGUUCUUUUGUCUAAAAAACAAGAGGAGUAAGGGCUGGGUAAGACGGGUGCCAGCCGCCGCGGUAAUACCCGCAGCCCGAGUGGCGGUCGUUUUUAUUUGGUCUAAAACGUCCGUAGCUGGUCUAGUAAACUCUUGGGUAAAUCGAAAUGCUUAACAUUUCGAAUUCCGAGCGCACUGCUAGACUUGAGACAGGGAGAGGUCAGGAGUACUCCAGAGGUAGGGGUGAAAUCCUGUAAUCUUUGGAGGACUACCAGUGGCUAAUGCGCCUGACUAGAACUGAUCUGACAGUGAGGGACGAAGCCCUGGGGCGCAA